AACGCAUCUUGCGCUCCUUGGUAUUCUGAGGAGCAUGCCUGUUAGAGUGUCAUUAAGUUCUCAACCGCACUAAUUUCUCUGGUGUGGCUUGGAUAUGGGGGUUUGAGUUUGCAGGCUUUUCAAGAUUGAAAAGUCGGCUCCCCUGAAAUGUAUUAGUGGUACCUGAGCAGAAGCUACUACAGGCAUGAUAAUUAUCUAUGUCUUUGGUACACUGCAGCAACAGACUAUGCUGCUUAUAACAUUGUGCAAUGAGUACACCUUUGACAAAUUUGACCUCAAAUCAGGCAGGACUACCCGCUGAACUUAA
rnacentral:misc_RNA from 2 species